rnacentral:rRNA from 1 species
GACGAACGCUGGCGGCGUGCCUAAUACAUGCAAGUCGAACGCUGCUUAAGAAGAAACUUCGGUUUUUUCUUAAGCGGAGUGGCGGACGGGUGAGUAACACGUGGGGAACCUAUCCAUCAGCGGGGGAUAACACUUGGAAACAGGUGCUAAUACCGCAUACGGCUUUUUUUCACCUGAAAGAAAGCUCAAAGGCGCUUUACAGCGUCGCUGAUGGCUGGCCCCGCGGUGCAUUAGCCAGUUGGUGAGGUAACGGCUCACCAAAGCAACGAUGCAUAGCCGACCUGAGAGGGUGAUCGGCCACACUGGGACUGAGACACGGCCCAGACUCCUACGGGAGGCAGCAGUAGGGAAUCUUCGGCAAUGGACGCAAGUCUGACCGAGCAACGCCGCGUGAGUGAAGAAGGUUUUCGGAUCGUAAAGCUCUGUUGUCAGCAAAGAACAGGAGAAAGAGGCAAUGCUUUUUCUAUGACGGUAGCUGACCAGAAAGCCACGGCUAACUACGUGCCAGCAGCCGCGGUAAUACGUAGGUGGCAAGCGUUGUCCGGAUUUAUUGGGCGUAAAGCGAGCGCAGGCGGUGAUUUAAGUCUGAUGUGAAAGCCCCCAGCUCAACUGGGGAGGGUCAUUGGAAACUGGAUCACUUGAGUGCAGAAGAGGAGAGUGGAAUUCCAUGUGUAGCGGUGAAAUGCGUAGAUAUAUGGAGGAACACCAGUGGCGAAGGCGGCUCUCUGGCCUGUAACUGACGCUGAGGCUCGAAAGCGUGGGUAGCAAACAGGAUUAGAUACCCUGGUAGUCCACGCCGUAAACGAUGAGUGCUAAGUGUUGGAGGGUUUCCGCCCUUCAGUGCUGCAGUUAACGCAUUAAGCACUCCGCCUGGGGAGUACGACCGCAAGGUUGAAACUCAAAGGAAUUGACGGGGGCCCGCACAAGC